GUUAGGAAUAUUGGACAAUGGGCGCAAGCCUGAUCCAGCCAUGCCGCGUGAACGAUGAAGGCCUUCGGGUUGUAAAGUUCUUUAGCCGAUGAUUAUAAUGACUGUAGUCGGAAAAUAAGCCCCGGCUAACUUCGUGCCAGCAGCCGCGGUAAUACGAAGGGGGCGAGCGUUAUUCGGAAUCACUGGGCGUAAAGCGUGCGUAGGCGGUCUCGUAAGUUAGGAGUGAAAGCCCAGGGCUCAACCUUGGAAUUGCUCUUAAAACUGCAAGGCUAGAAUCUCGGAGAGGAUAGCGGAAUUUCCAGUGUAGCAGUGAAAUGCGUAGAUAUUGGAAGGAACACCAGUGGCGUAAGCGGCUAUCUGGACGAGUAUUGACGCUGAGGCACGAAAGCGUGGGGAUCAAACAGGAUUGGAUACCCCAGUAGUCC
rnacentral:rRNA from 1 species